CGGUGGAGUAUGUGGUUUAAUUCGAUGCAACGCGAAGAACCUUACCUGGUCUUGACAUCCCGGAGACCCUUAGGAAACUAGGGGUGCUUCCAUCUGGAAGAAUCUGGAGACAGGUGCUGCAUGGCUGUCGUCAGCUCGUGUCGUGAGAUGUUGGGUUAAGUCCCGCAACGAGCGCAACCCUUGCCUUUAGUUGCCAGCAGUUCGGCUGGGCACUCUAAAGGGACUGCCGGUGUUAAACCGGAGGAAGGUGGGGAUGACGUCAAGUCCUCAUGGCCUUUAUGACCAGGGCUACACACGUACUACAAUGGCCGAUACAAAGGGCAGCGACACUGCGAGGUGAAGCCAAUCCCGUAAAAUCGGUCUCAGUCCGGAUUGGAGUCUGCAGCUCGACUCCAUGAAGUUGGAAUCGCUAGUAAUCGUGGAUCAGCAUGCCACGGUGAAUACGUUCCCGGGCCUU
rnacentral:rRNA from 1 species